AUGAACGCUAGCUACAGGCUUAACACAUGCAAGUCGAGGGGCAGCAUUUUAGUUUGCUUGCAAACUGAAGAUGGCGACCGGCGCACGGGUGAGUAACACGUAUCCAACCUGCCGAUAACUCCGGAAUAGCCUUUCGAAAGAAAGAUUAAUACCGGAUAGUAUACGAAUAUCGCAUGAUAUUUUUAUUAAAGAAUUUCGGUUAUCGAUGGGGAUGCGUUCCAUUAGUUUGUUGGCGGGGUAACGGCCCACCAAGACUACGAUGGAUAGGGGUUCUGAGAGGAAGGUCCCCCACAUUGGAACUGAGACACGGUCCAAACUCCUACGGGAGGCAGCAGUGAGGAAUAUUGGUCAAUGGGCGAGAGCCUGAACCAGCCAAGUAGCGUGAAGGAUGAAGGCUCUAUGGGUCGUAAACUUCUUUUAUAUGGGAAUAAAGUUUUCCACGUGUGGAAUUUUGUAUGUACCAUAUGAAUAAGGAUCGGCUAACUCCGUGCCAGCAGCCGCGGUAAUACGGAGGAUCCGAGCGUUAUCCGGAUUUAUUGGGUUUAAAGGGAGCGUAGGUGGAUUGUUAAGUCAGUUGUGAAAGUUUGCGGCUCAACCGUAAAAUUGCAGUUGAAACUGGGAGUCUUGAGUACAGUAGAGGUGGGCGGAAUUCGUGGUGUAGCGGUGAAAUGCUUAGAUAUCACGAAGAACUCCGAUUGCGAAGGCAGCUCACUAGACUGUCACUGACACUGAUGCUCGAAAGUGUGGGUAUCAAACAGGAUUAGAUACCCUGGUAGUCCACGCCGUAAACGAUGAAUACUAGGUGUCGGGGCCGUAGAGGCUUCGGUGCCGCAGCCAACGCAGUAAGUAUUCCACCUGGGGAGUACGUUCGCAAGAAUGAAACUCAAAGGAAUUGACGGGGGCCCGCACAAGCGGAGGAACAUGUGGUUUAAUUCGAUGAUACGCGAGGAACCUUACCCGGGCUUAAAUUGCAACAGAAUAUAUUGGAAACAGUAUAGCCGUAAGGCUGUUGUGAAGGUGCUGCAUGGUUGUCGUCAGCUCGUGCCGUGAGGUGUCGGCUUAAGUGCCAUAACGAGCGCAACCCUUAUCUUUAGUUACUAACAGGUCAUGCUGAGGACUCUAGAGAGACUGCCGUCGUAAGAUGUGAGGAAGGUGGGGAUGACGUCAAAUCAGCACGGCCCUUACGUCCGGGGCUACACACGUGUUACAAUGGGGGGUACAGAAGGCGGCUACCUGGUGACAGGAUGCUAAUCCCAAAAACCUCUCUCAGUUCGGAUCGAAGUCUGCAACCCGACUUCGUGAAGCUGGAUUCGCUAGUAAUCGCGCAUCAGCCAUGGCGCGGUGAAUACGUUCCCGGGCCUUGUACACACCGCCCGUCAAGCCAUGAAAGCCGGGGGUACCUGAAGUACGUAACCGCAAGGAGCGUCCUAGGGUAAAACUGGUAAUUGGGGCU
rnacentral:rRNA from 1 species